GGGGCUGAUUCUGGAUUCGACGGGAUUUGCGAAACCCAAGGUGCAUGCCGAGGGGCGGUUGGCCUCGUAAAAAGCCGCAAAAAAAUAGUCGCAAACGACGAAAACUACGCUUUAGCAGCUUAAUAACCUGCUUAGAGCCCUCUUUCCCUAGCCUCCGCUCUUAGGACGGGGAUCAAGAGAGGUCAAACCCAAAAGAGAUCGCGCGGAUGCCCUGCCUGGGGUUGAAGCGUUAAAACGAAUCAGGCUAGUCUGGUAGUGGCGUGUCCGUCCGCAGGUGCCAGGCGAAUGUAAAGACUGACUAAGCAUGUAGUACCGAGGAUGUAGGAAUUUCGGACGCGGGUUCAACUCCCGCCAGCUCCACCA
rnacentral:tmRNA from 3 species